CUUUACUGUAGCUUGAGAUUGGCUUUUGUUUUUAACUGCGCAGAAUAGGUGGGAAGCUUUGAAGACUUUUUUUUGGAAAAGUUGGAGCUGUUAGUGAGAUACCACUCUUUUAAAAUUGAAAGCCUCAUUUUAUUCCGUAAUCCGGAUAAAAGACAGUUUCUGGUGGGCAGUUUGACUGGGGCGGUCACCUCCUAAAAAGUAACGGAGGUGUACAAAGGUUUCCUCAGAUCGGUUAGAAAUCGAUUGUUGAGUGCAAUGGCAAAAGGAAGCUUAACUGUGAGACAAACAAGUCGAGCAGAAACGAAAGUUGGUCAUAGUGAUCUGGCGCUGCUGUGUGGAAAGGGCGCCACUUAACGGAUAAAAGUUA
rnacentral:rRNA from 1 species